GACGAACGCUGGCGGCGUGCUUAACACAUGCCAGUCGAACGGAAUGGCCCUGCUUUUGUGGGGUGCUCGAGUGGCGAACGGGUGAGUAACACGUGAGUAACCUGCCCUUGACUUUGGGAUAACUUCAGGAAACUGGGGCUAAUACCGGAUAGGAGCUCCUGCUGCAUGGUGGGGGUUGGAAAGUUUCGGCGGUUGGGGAUGGACUCGCGGCUUAUCAGCUUGUUGGUGGGGUAGUGGCUUACCAAGGCUUUGACGGGUAGCCGGCCUGAGAGGGUGACCGGCCACAUUGGGACUGAGAUACGGCCCAGACUCCUACGGGAGGCAGCAGUGGGGAAUAUUGCACAAUGGGCGGAAGCCUGAUGCAGCAACGCCGCGUGCGGGAUGACGGCCUUCGGGUUGUAAACCGCUUUCGCCUGUGACGAAGCGUGAGUGACGGUAAUGGGUAAAGAAGCACCGGCUAACUACGUG
rnacentral:rRNA from 1 species